CGAGCACCUACUGUAUCAAGAACAGGCUGCGGGCGUGACUUUGACACUCCUGGCGGCCAAAGAGAAAAAGGCUAUAAAGUUUUAUCUACCAGGAAGGAGAAAGCAAUUUUAGUUUGCUCAGAAGUUUUAUAUACAUGGUGAUACAUGUCCUAAAGAACAUAAUUAAGAUCAACCGUCCUCCAUGUCCUCCAUCAUCAUUUUCACCUUUUCUCUUCUUCAACUUUGGAUCAAAUGAAUUUGCUCCCUCCUCGUCACAGCCAGCAGAUUCCCUAUGAUUGGCUUCCGUCAAAGAUCCAGGGUCUGGUGCUGCUCCUGACACCUGUUCAGGGACUCAGGGACAUCUGUUUUGUAGUCUCUUGCUCCUGAUCAGCUGGUGAGGGGACAACCACCCCCCACACUGGCCGAGGUUUUUGUCUUGUCUGGAUUCAUGUGUUUUUCUGUAGAAACACAAGAUGUAACUGCAGUGGAUAAACACUCAUCGGCAUGAACUGGGCAACUGUAAUAAAUCAGGUACACUUUGGAAUGAGAUGUAAUGCACAGCUCGCAUCCCCUACAUGGGGAUGAAGACUCGGGAGAAACAGGCCGGUGAAAGCCCGUGAGUUCCAGGCAUGAGCAACCACCAUCUACUUCCUGUCUCUAUGAAUUUGACUGCUUCAGGGACGUCAUCUAAAUGGAAGUAUCCUAACUGUGCCUUUGGGGUCUGGUUAUUUUGCUUUGCACAAGUUCAUCCAUGUCAUAACAUGUGUCAAAAUUUCAUUAUCUUUUAAGUGUGAAUAAUAUUCCAUUGUAUGUAUAUGCCAUAUCUUGUUUAUCCAUUGAUAAAUUGUUGAUAGAUACUUGGGUUGUUCCCAUCUUUUUGCUAUUGUGAAUAAUGUUGCUAUAAAUAUUGAUAUACAGGAGUCCCUGUUUUUAAUUCUUUCAGUUAUAUAUUUAAAAGCAGUAUCACUGGAUCAUAUGAUAAUUCUAUGUUUUUAAUUUCUCUAUGUCCUCACCAACAGACUGAAGCAUCUUUAAGCAAAGGAUUUUUACACAUACAUAAUCUUUACAGCAUGAUAUCCUCAAUAGUUUUAUCCAAACUCUCAAUAGUUUAAAAAAAUAGCUCUCAGUGUUCAGGAUCUGAGCCCAAAUAAAACAUCUCCAAGAAAAGUUUAUCUGAUAAUUCAUGAUGGAAGACGGAAAACAUACUAAUAAAUGGCACUUUAUUUUGAAAAGAGUUCAGUUUCCAUUAAGAGUUAAAAAUGCAGGGAUGCCUGGGUGGCUCAGUGGUUGAGAGUCGGCCUUUGGCUCAGGGCAUGAUCCUGGAGUCCCAGGAUCAAGUCCCACAUGGGGCUUCCUGCAUGGAGCCUGCUUUUUCCCUCUGCCUAUGUCUCUGCCUCUCUCUGUGUCUCUCAUGAAUAAAUAAAUAAGAUUUUAAAAAAGAGUUAAAAAUGCAUAUAUCCUGUCAUCAUGAGCAUCACAUUCAGAUAAAUUUAAUCUGGCUGGAAUUGGCCAGAUUAAUUGCAAAAUUAAUCAACUUUGCAGGGCACCUGGGCGGCUCAGUCAGUCACGCAUCUGCCUUUGACUCAGGUAAUGAUCCCAGGGUCUUGGGACUGAGCCCCAUAUCGGGCUCCCUGCUCAGUGGGGAGUCUCUUUCUCCCUCUCCCUCUGCCUCUCUCCCUGCUGGUGCUCUUUUUCUCUUGUGACAAAUAAAUAAAAAUCAAUCAAUCAACUGCUUCAACAUGGAAUGUCAAAAUAGGUAAUACACCACUUUUUACAGAAGAAUGUCAAAUAAAACCUUGUUACAUUACUGCAAUCUUACUUUAUUACUAUCAAUAAUCCUAUGUAAGCAUUUAAAAUAGUACAUGAAGUAUUUAUUUAUUUUUUUUAAUUUUUAUUUAUUUAUGAUAGUCACACACAGAGAGAGAGAGAGGCAGAGACACAGGCAGAGGGAGAAGCAGGCUCCAUGCACUGGGAGCCCGACGUGGGAUUCGAUCCCGGGUCUCCAGGAUCGCGCCCUGGGCCAAAGGCAGGCGCCAAACCACUGCGCCACCCAGGGAUCCCCAACAUGAAGUAUUUAGAAUGUGUUAAAAGUCUAAGUAGACAUAAAAACAACGUAUGUGGACAAGAGCAGCUAGGAUUCUGUGUUCCGCCCAAGUUAGUUAGCAUUCACUGCCUGGAAGACUUCUUCAGUUGGAUGUCAUAACAGCUUUAGUGCUUGACCAAAUGAAGGACCCAGAUAUGAUUAUCAAAACUUUUAUAUUCAAUUUCCUUUAGAAAUGCUACACAAUCAGGUUCAAAGGUGGAAAUUAUGUCAAGCUUUUUAAAAGAACUUUUGGAAAUCAAUAAGGAAAAAAAACCACCACCAAUAGAGAAUUAGCAAAGAACACAAAUAGAUAAUACACACAUAGGAAUACAAAUAGAGAUUUCACUGACAAAUGGGAUACUAUAAAAACAAUGAUAGGGCAGCCCCCGUGGCUCAGCGGUUUGGCUCCUGCCUUUGGCCCGGGGCGUGAUCCUGGGGUUCCGGGAUGGAGUCCCACGUCGUCGGGCUCCCUGCACGGAGCCUGCUUCUCCCUCUGCCUGUGUCUCUGCCUCUCUCUGUCUCUCUCUCUGAUGAAUAAAUAAAUAAAAUCU
rnacentral:lncRNA from 1 species